AAUGAACGCUGGCGGCAGGCCUAACACAUGCAAGUCGAACGGAUCCUUCGGGAUUAGUGGCGGACGGGUGAGUAACGCGUGGGAACAUACCCUUUGGUACGGAAUAGCCUCGGGAAACUGGGAGUAAUACCGUAUGUGGUCGAGAGACGAAAGAUUUAUCGCCAAAGGAUUGGCCCGCGUUGGAUUAGGUAGUUGGUGGGGUAAUGGCCUGCCAAGCCGACGUUCCAUAGCUGGUUUGGGAGGAUGAUCAGCCACACUGGGACUGAGACACGGCCCAGACUCCUACGGGAGGCAGCAGUGGGGAAUCUUAGACAAUGGGGGAAACCCUGAUCUAGCCAUGCCGCGUGAUCGAUGAAGGCCUUAGGGUUGUAAAGAUCUUUCAGGUGGGAAGAUAAUGACUGUACCACCAGAAGAAGCCCCGGCUAACUCCGUGCCAGCCGCCGCCGUAACAC
rnacentral:rRNA from 1 species